UUUAUACAAAUUAGUACUCUUAUGUUCCCCAAAACAAAUACAUAUUUAUUUUUAAUGGACUAAAAAUAUAUAUAUUAAAUUCAUGACAAAGGCUACCUUUGGGGAGGGAAGGGUAGAAUUCAAACUGGGAAUAGAGAGCAAAAGGAACUUCGAUUUUGUUCAUAAUGUUUAUCGUAUUUUCUUUCUAAAAAAAGAUUUGAAUCAAAUGUGUCAAAAUGUUAACAGCUUUCAAUGAUGGGUGGUAGGUUUAUGGAUACUUGCUAUGUUAUUUGUACUUGUCUAUAUUUUUAAAUUUCUCAAGAAAAACAACACAAUAAGGUGACUGUACUUUUAGUAAAUUAUGGCUGCAUGUUACCCAGAUAUCUGCUCCAGUUAUACUGAGAAACUGGAAGUGUGAAACUCUACCAUCUGUUAAAGAAAUCUUGACAUCCAUGGGUAGCAAAGAAACAUCAAAAACUGAUGUUAAGACUGCAUGACUGAGCAAAUAUACUUGAAAACAUGUAGAUUAUUUUAUUAAGCAAUGAAUGCUGGAAACAAAACCAGAUUUUAUUGUAGAGUCAGAGAGGAUAAUGUAGACAUUUGAGGUAAAAUUAUCAAUAAUAUUGAUUAAGGUUUUAUAUGUGAUUAUCCAUUUAUUUUUCUGCUGGGUAGGAAUAAAGAGAUUUUUUAGCUGAAUAAAACUUGGUAAAAGUACAAGCUGUUCUGAGGAAUUCUUAUGUAUAUUCCAGGCUGUUAUUAUAGGAUUAAAGUGUUAAGUGUGGGGAGGAACACAACAUUUGAAGAAUCUCAGCUCAAAGGCCCUCCCUCACUAGAAAUGAAUUGUUGUUCUGACUCAUCUUUUGUGCAGACCAAAUUCGUUAACUUUCAAGCACUUGCAUGACUGUGAGGUUAUUUCCUUGCUGGACUUUUGUGCUAGAGACAUACUGAGGACAGACUACGGAGAAAAUUUCCAAAAUUCUAGAGAUGGGGAAAUCCAAGAUCAAGUUUCUAUCAGAUUUAGUGUCUGCUGAGGGCUCACUCUCUGCUUUGAAGAUGGUGCCGGCUUGCUGAGUCCUCAGAUGGUGAAAAGAGCGAACAGACUCACUUGAGCCUCUUUUAUGAGGGCACUAAUCCUGCACCUGAUGGCAAAUUCCUCAUGACCUAAUGAUAUAGGACUUAAGAAGAAAUCACUCAGGCAGAUAGCGAGGGAAUAGGAGUCCUUGAUUAAACACAAACAUCGAAGAUGAGAAAUUCCACGCAAAAACGGAGAAAGAAAGAGUAGAGGAAGACUACAACCAUCUGACGCAGUGACUUAGUUGGAUCCUAUGAGAAGAAUGCAGACUGGGGACUGAAGCUUCUGCUCCCAUACCCAGGGUUCCUGCAGAACGUGAUGACUCCAGGAUUCUACAAUCUGGACCUAGGGUAACACUGGAAAGCAAGCUUUGGCUGUCAUAUUGUCCAAAUUAUAUGCUUCCUCUGACAAGCACAUAGUCUGUACUGGAUAUAGGGCCAGCCUUACCAUUAAAUUUCAAGGGAAAAUGGGAGGAGACUUCUUAUUCAUGUAAAAACAGAGUAACUUUGACUUAAG